rnacentral:lncRNA from 1 species
GGUACUUAUUCCCUAAAAUCAAUACAUCUUGGUGGUCUGUUACCUACUCACCAUUUUUGAAUUAUCACUACAUCCGUCAUCUCAAAGCUGCAAUCCUCGUCUCAAUAUCUUAUUGAACUGUGAUCGAAAUACGAAGCUGUCCUGGGUUGGAUCAAUAUGGGUCAUGUCAGAUGUAUUUAUUCUGGUGAAUUGUACUGUUGUCUUUAUGGAUAAUAUUCUGGCCUUAGUUUAGGCCAUCUUGCCUCUGAUGAGUAGUGCAUGAGUUAAUCCAGAGAAGACUCCAUUUUUUGUCCAUUAUAGGUGCUGUGCAAAUCAUAUCCAUCUGAGUUCAUAUCAUACUUCCACUACUGCCGAUCAUUAAGAUUUGAGGAUAAACCUGACUAUUCAUAUUUGAAGAGGCUUUUUAGAGACUUGUUUAUUCGUGAAGGUAGCUUCUCUUGUUUUUUCUUUCUUUCUUUUAGCUAAAGUGAUACUGUUUUGGUCCAAAAUUUAUCCCAGUUGUUAACCUUCUCUUGUUUUUUCUUUCUUUCUUUUAUCUAAAGUGAUACUGUUUGGGUCCAAAAUUUAUCCCAGUUGUUAACUACCCCAACUUUCGUCUUUGACAGAUAUGAUGCGGGCUUUGUAUCUUUAACUUUCAUAACGAUCCAAAAAAAAAAAAAAAAUCUUUUGUUGGUGCAGGUU